CGACUCCAUGAAGUCGGAAUCGCUAGUAAUCGCAAAUCAGAAUGUUGCGGUGAAUACGUUCCCGGGCCUUGUACACACCGCCCGUCACACCAUGGGAGUGGGCUGCAAAAGAAGCAGGUAGUUUAACCUUCGGGAGGACGCUUGCCACUUUGUGGUUCAUGACUGGGGUGAAGUCGUAACAAGGUAGCGCUAGGGGAACCUGGCGCUGGAUCACCUCCUUACACGAAGAU
rnacentral:rRNA from 1 species